rnacentral:rRNA from 1 species
CACGUAUGCAACCUACCCAAAACAGGAGGAUAGCCGGGGAAACUCGAAUUAACCCUCCAUAAUAUAUUUGAGUGGCAUCAUUUGAAUAUUAAAAUACAAGUGGUUUUGGAUGGGCAUGCGUCUGAUUAGUUAGUUGGCGGGGUAACGGCCCACCAAGACGAUGAUCAGUAGGGGAACUGAGAGGUUGAUCCCCCACACUGGCACUGAGAUACGGGCCAGACUCCUACGGGAGGCAGCAGUAGGGAAUAUUGGUCAAUGGGUGAGAGCCUGAACCAGCCAUGCCGCGUGCAGGAAGAAGGCCUUCUGGGUUGUAAACUGCUUUUGCCAGGGGAUAAAAAGACCAUGCGUGGUUUAUUGAAGGUACCUGGUGAAUAAGCACCGGCUAACUACGUGCCAGCAGCCGCGGUAAUACGUAGGGUGCAAGCGUUGUCCGGAUUUAUUGGGUUUAAAGGGUGCGUAGGCGGCCGUGUAAGUCAGUGGUGAAAUACUCUAGCUUAACUAGAGGGGUGCCAAUGAUACUGCAUGGCUUGAGUACAGAUGAG